GGGGAUUUAGCUCAGUGGUAGAGCGCUUGCCUAGCAAGCGCAAGGCCCUGGGUUCGGUCCCCAGCCCCC
rfam:Rattus norvegicus chromosome 10, whole genome shotgun sequence.